rnacentral:lncRNA from 1 species
CCUCAUGAUUUCACGAGCAAGAGUCAUUUAUAUACACCCAAGAAGAGUCCGGCUCUGUACUGAAAGAAGAAGAAGAAGAUAAUAACAAACACAGGUCAACGUACGGUCUUAUACACAGGGCUUUGAUACAGACCAAACGGCAAGCUAUAAAAGACCCCAAAAUUAUUAGCGUACACAAUUCGAACAGGAAAACCAACGAUCUAGUUUAUAUAUCCAGACGGGAAAACUUUUAUACCAAUGAACAACAUCAACAAACGAUAACUGCUGAACGACAGGCCCCUGAAUCAAUCAGGACAGGUGCAUAAACAUGCAGCGGCUAUGGAUAGUUUUGUUUCGCCAGCAUACAAUAUAAUUGCAGUUGAAGGCAAAUCCUUCAGAAGUUCUUUGUACUUUAUUCUAACAACGAACAUUUUUUGAUAGAGAAUAUAAGUAAAGGGGAAAGAAACCAAUUUUUUGUUCUUUUCAGGUAUUUCCGCUGUUAUAAAUUUAUAUCGGAGCACUCCCACUUUGG